UAUUCUGCCCCAGCGGGAAGGAUGAGAAGCUUCGACUAAGGUUCGAUUCGAGCGUUAGCGAGAAAGCGUUGCCGCAGGCAACGACCCGAAGGG
rnacentral:sRNA from 1 species